UACGUAGGUGGCAAGCGUUGUCCGGAAUUACUGGGCGUAAAGGGUGCGUAGGCGGUUCGUUAAGUCUGUCGUGAAAUCCCCGGGCUCAACCUGGGAAUGGCGAUGGAUACUGGCGAGCUAGAGUGUGGCAGAGGAUGGUGGAAUUCCCGGUGUAGCGGUGAAAUGCGUAGAGAUCGGGAGGAACAUCAGUGGCGAAGGCGGCCAUCUGGGACAACACUGACGCUGAAGCACGAAAGCGUGGGGAGCAAACAGG
rnacentral:rRNA from 1 species